CUCAUUACAAUCAUAUUUUUACUAGUCAAAAGUAUUAUAAUUAAACGAUUUUAAAUAUUUUGUGCCUUACUAAAGUACGUUAUUAGUACAACAACUGUUGAACGACACGUAUAUCUCUAUAUUACACUAAACAAUGUGUUAUUUAACAAAAAUAUCUUUUUAUACUAUUUUAUUUUUAAUUAUGUGUUUAUUUUUUAUUUCAAUAAACGGUCUAGAUUGCAUACCGAAUGGAUUUUAUUGUUCGAAGGAAUCUCAAUUCGGAGAGUGUUGCCCACCUUCAUCUUGCAAGAGUGAAAUUAAUGUUUGCGAAUAAUUUCAUACAAUGUCAAUGAAGAAUGGAAUCAUUUUAUGAGAUUAUAAUGACAGCAAUAUCAAGAUAUUAAAAUAUUUUAUAUCUUUUUAAUAAGUUUAAUUAAACUGUGUCUAUUUUUAAAAAAAUUAUAUUUGACUAAAUAAUAAUAAAUGUAGGACAUUAAA